rnacentral:rRNA from 1 species
AGUGGAGGUCCGAACCGGUUGACGUUGAAAAGUCUUCGGAUGACCUGUGGGUAGGGGUGAAAGGCCAAUCAAACUCGGAAAUAGCUCGUACUCCCCGAAAUGCAUUUAGGUGCAGCGCUGAUAAUAGUUAUAUAGAGGUAGAGCUACUGAUUGGAUGCGGGGGCUUCACCGCCUACCAAUUCCUGACAAACUCCGAAUGCUAUAUAAUGUUUUACAGCAGUGAGGGCAUGGGUGCUAAGGUCCAUGUCCGAGAGGGAAAGAACCCAGACCAUCAGCUAAGGUCCCCAAAUGUAUGCUAAGUUGAAAAAACGAGGUUUGUCUGCCCAGACAGCUAGGAUGUUGGCUUGGAAGCAGCCAUUCAUUUAAAGAGUGCGUAACAGCUCACUAGUCGAGCGGACGAGCAUGGAUAAUAAUCGGGCAUAAGUAUACUACCGAAGCUAUGGAUUUAUACGUAAGUAUAAGUGGUAGGGGAGCAUUCUAACA